rnacentral:rRNA from 1 species
AACGCUAGCUACAGGCUUAACACAUGCAAGUCGAGGGGCAGCAUUGGAGCAGCAAUACUUUGGUGGCGACCGGCGCACGGGUGAGUAACGCGUAUGCAACCUACCUAUCAGAGGGGAAUAACCCGGCGAAAGUCGGACUAAUACCGCAUAAAACAGGGACACCGCAUGGUGAUAUUUGUUAAAGAAAUUCGCUGAUAGAUGGGCAUGCGUUCCAUUAGGUAGUUGGUGAGGUAACGGCUCACCAAGCCGACGAUGGAUAGGGGAACUGAGAGGUUGGUCCCCCACACUGGUACUGAGACACGGACCAGACUCCUACGGGAGGCAGCAGUGAGGAAUAUUGGUCAAUGGGCGAGAGCCUGAACCAGCCAAGUCGCGUGAAGGAAGAAGGAUCUAUGGUUCGUAAACUUCUUUUGCAGGGGAAUAAAGUGCAGGACGUGUCCUGUUUUGUAUGUACCCUGAGAAUAAGGAUCGGCUAACUCCGUGCCAGCAGCCGCGGUAAUACGGAGGAUCCAAGCGUUAUCCGGAUUUAUUGGGUUUAAAGGGAGCGUAGGUUGACAUAUAAGUCAGCUGUGAAAGUUUACGGCUCAACCGUGAAAUUGCAGUUGAUACUGUAUGUCUUGAGUGUACAAGAGGUGGGCGGAAUUCGUGGUGUAGCGGUGAAAUGCUUAGAUAUCACGAAGAACUCCGAUUG